rnacentral:rRNA from 1 species
GAAAUGCGUAGCUGAUGGGAAGCUGGUUAAUAUUCCAGCACCUUUAUUUAAUGCGAUGUGGGGACGAAGGAGGCUAGCUUAUCCGGGUGUUGGAUGUCCCGGUUGAAGCGUGUAGACAUGCUGCCUAGGCAAAUCCGGGCGGCUAAGUUGAGGCGUGAUAACGAAACUCCUUAGGGAGCCAAGUAAGUGAUGCCCUGCUUCCAAGAAAAGCCACUAAGCUUCAGUUAAAUAAAGACCGUACCGCAAACCGACACAGGUGGGUGGGAUGAGAAUUCUAAGGCGCUUGAGAGAACUCGGGAGAAGGAACUCGGCAAAUUGACACCGUAACUUCGGGAGAGGGUGUGCCUCCGGUAUGUGUAGCAUCUUGCAUGCGAAGCAGAAAGAGGUUGCAAUAAAAUGGUGGCUGCGACUGUUUAAUAAAAACAUAGCACUCUGCAAACACGAAAGUGGACGUAUAGAGUGUGACGCCUGCCCGGUGCCGGAAGGUUAAGUGAUGGGGUGCAAGCUCUUGAUCGAAGCCCCGGUAAACGGCGGCCGUAACAAUAACGGUCCUAAGGUAGCGAAAUUCCUUGUCGGGUAAGUUCCGACCUGCGCGAAUGGCGUAACGAUGGCCACACUGUCUCCUCCCGGGACUCAGCGAAGUUGAAGUGGUUGUGAAGAUGCAAUCUACCCGCGGCUAGACGGAAAGACCCCGUGCACCUUUACUGUAGCUUUACAUUGGAUUUUGAUCAUGUUUGUGUAGGAUAGGUGGGAGGCUAUGAAAUAUGCUCGCCAGAGUGUAUGGAGCCAACCUUGAAAUACCACCCUAGCAUUAUCGAAAUUCUAACCUAGAUCCAUUAUCUGGAUCAGGGACCGUGUAUGGUAGGCAGUUUGACUGGGGCGGUCUCCUCCCAAAGAGUAACGGAGGAGUGCGAAGGUACGCUAAGUACGGUCGGAAAUCGUGCUGAUAGUGCAAUGGCAUAAGCGUGCUUGACUGCGAGACUGACAAGUCGAGCAGAUGCGAAAGCAGGUCAUAGUGAUCCGGUGGUUCUGUAUGGAAGGGCCAUCGCUCAACGGAUAAAAGGUACGCCGGGGAUAACAGGCUGAUUCCUCCCAAGAGUUCAUAUCGACGGGGGAGUUUGGCACCUCGAUGUCGGCUCAUCACAUCCUGGGGCUGAAGCCGGUCCCAAGGGUAUGGCUGUUCGCCAUUUAAAGUGGUACGUGAGCUGGGUUUAAAACGUCGUGAGACAGUUUGGUCCCUAUCUGCCGUGGGCGUUGGAAGUUUGAGUGGGGCUGCUCCUAGUACGAGAGGACCGGAGUGGACGCACCUCUGGUGUACCGGUUGUCACGCCAGUGGCAUCGCCGGGUAGCUAUGUGCGGAAGAGAUAACAGCUGAAAGCAUCUAAGCGGGAAACUUGCCACAAGAUUAGACUUCCCGGGAGUAUAACUCCCCUAAAGGUUCGUUGAAGACUACAACGUUGAUAGGUCGAAUG